rnacentral:lncRNA from 1 species
CCCCCUCCCCGGUGCCUCCCGCAGCCGGCUCAGCGCCCGGCCCGCCCGUGCAUCGCGGGAGCGCCUUGACAGCACUUGCGCCCGCGGCCAGGACAGCGCGGGGACUCGGAGCCGGGGAGCAGAACAAGGGCAUGGGAACUGCAUCUGUGCACGCUGGCAUCCUUGUCCGUUCCUCACGUGGUAUUUGGUAUUUGGAGCCUGCAGCACAGCACCUUUGCCAGGCACACUGACUGUCAGUGCUUGGGGCUUUGGGGGAGCCCACAAGGGACCUGCAGAGAUUUUGACAAGUCUUACAUGUUUUCUGCUCCAUUCUUUGGGUCAAGAACACGCUGGUUAAUAGCCAAUUAUUUCAUACCCUAAGGAAGUUUUGGGAAAGAAGUUCCUGAGAAGACAACUUGUUUUAGGAAAUCGGGCUAAUAUUCAGUAGUUAUCAUGAAGGAAUUGCAUCUUUGCAGCAUGAAUCCAGCCCAGUUUGUUCCUCCUCACAGCACCUGUCAAGAAGAGUGCUUUGACUUUCCAGGAGACAAAAUGAAUUUCUUAGAUGCACCACUGAUAUCCCUCAGCAUUCUGCAGCCCAGCGCAUACAGCCUGGGGAAGUCUUGUAGAUCCUCCACAAAGCACUGACUCAAGGGAAGAAGACAUCUCUGAAUUCUGAGUUCGAAUAACCUGGGUCCAACCAGCAGGAGCUUUUUCUCUGUGAGAUUAAAUAUGUAAGAUUUUAUAACCCAGUUUAAACAUGUCCCAUGCAAAAUUCAGGAUUGGUUUUCAGUAUGUAAUUUUCCUUUAAUUUUUAAACAAGUUCUUGCAAUGAUGUUAAUUUUAUUAUCUGUAUUGAUGGAAUGAUGAAGAAAUCAAAAUACAAAAAUCUACAGAUAAA